rnacentral:lncRNA from 1 species
CUCAUCUUAGUACCUUUUGUGCUGAAAUUAAAACACAAUUUAAUCUGUCUGUACGUACAUUGAGAAGUGAUAAUGCCAAAGAAUAUUUUUUCGAUUCUUUUCAGACUAAUAUGCUUCGGAAUGGUAUUCUUCAACAAUCUUCAUGUGUUGACACACCUUCUCACAACGGUGUGGCUGAAAGAAAAAAUAGACAUCAUCUUGAGACAGCCAAGGCACUCCUAUUCCAAAUGCAUGUUCCCAAACAAUUUUGGGCUGAUGUCGUCUCCACAGCCUUUUUUUGAUUAAUCGAAUGCCUUCAUCUGUUCUUCACGGUGAAACUCCUUACAAUGUCAUUCUCCCCUCCAAAUCCUUGUUUCCUAUUGAACCAAGAAUUUUUGGUAGUACUUGUUAUGUUCAUCAUAUACGUCCCCAGGUAACUAAAUUAGAUCCAAAAUCCUUAAAAUGUAUUUUUCUGGGUUAUUCUCGUCUACAAAAAGGGUAACGAUGCUACUGUCUGAGUCUUAACAAAUAUCUUGUGUCGGUUAACGUUACCUUUCUUGAACAUGUUCCUUUCUUUCCCACAUCUUCUACUUCUCUCAAUAAGGGGAAGGAUGAUGAUCUGUUGGUUUAUCAUGUAACUUCUACACCUAUUGCUUCCACACCAUCUAUCCUCCAGGUGUAUUCCAAACGAGGAAUCUCCCCUGAUACAUGUUUGGCACCUAGCUCUUCUUCGACAUCGGAUCCAGUAUCUAGUGAUCUCGAUUUAUCUAUUGCUCUUCGUAAAGGUAAACGUCAGUGCAAUUAUCCUAUUUCAUCAUUUGUUUCUUAUGAUCAC